UCAUGCUCUGCAUGGUUGGUUGAAUGAAUGAACUAAUUAUCCAUCUGGGUGAAAAUUGAGACAAUAUGCAUGGCCAAGCACUUGGACAAAUUUCAGGUGGAACUGAGACUUAAAAGGAAAAAAUGGAAAAUGCCUACUCAACAUGAAGACAGUGAGGAUGAAGACCUUUAUGAUGAUCCAUUUCCACUUAAUGAAUAGCAUCAACCAUGAGCUUGUUGAAGAGGCAUUUGGGGGUAGCGAGGAGCAGAGAGAGAACUUUCCAACCACACUACCUGCGUUUUUGAAAGGCUGACAUGGCUCUUGGUUCUCAAAUCAGCCUCAAAAUAGCCUGAAAAGCCUGGAGUCCACUCACAGAAGAGCAGACCUCCUCCGGUAUGCACCAUGCUGACAGCACCACCUUACACACUCAGGUGUGCAAAAACCGGCGCGGGGGACAUCUCACACCUUAUGUAGAUCAAAUGCUCCUUCCCUGAUCCUCUGUAGGGAACUUCCUUUUCUCUAAUCCUAGAUCUUUUCAAAAAUUCUAACCAAAAUAAAAUUUAAAAAGAAGA
rnacentral:lncRNA from 1 species